AUGGCCUUUAAACAGUGAAUAAGACUGACUCCAUGACAUCUGCAAAGGAAAUCCAGGAACCAUUUUUCAGUUAUUCUCCAGACCAACCCUGUAGAAAGUGACUUGGACAUUAAGAGGGAGACGAAGGUUUGAGCUGUGAGGGACUUCUCUGAGCUGUUUCACAACGCUGGUCCCUCAAAGAAGAUGGAGUGGUCCUGGCGUAGAACAGAAGGUGGAGACGUGUUUGGCUUUCUGUGUAUCUAAGAGGAAAAGUGUGAGAAAGCCUACUACAGAUGGCCUAAGAUGUGAUUGAUUUCACACAUGACG
rnacentral:lncRNA from 1 species